CGAUGUUGACUGAGGGGGGGGGGGUGCCCUCGUGCGCGCGCCAUAUAUGUGCUCACGUUCGUCACCUAAUUGCAAGUCAUGCCGGUAAUUGGUUCGCAAUUCAAGAGCGCAAGGUAUACGCGAGAAGGCCGACAUCACGGAAGCGAUCCGACCGCUUCAGCUCUGCAGUUUAGGCGCUUGUGGAACCUCCGAGAGCGACUAUCAUGCGCCGCAUGGGCCAUAUCCUUCGAUUUUGUUUUUGUACAUCUUUUCUUCGAUUUCUUUCCACCGCAGUACGCACCGCGCGCAGACGGCGCAGAUCUCGCCGAUAACACGGCAACGAACGAUGGCGUGACGUAAUGGCGCCACUAGAUCUGACUGAAACAACGCAUGCGCGAAUAUCGGAGCGUCGUCGUGAAAAGGGUUACACGCGGGCCGCCGACCUCCAUUUUGCUCUUGCCAGCCGGUCGCGCUGCGCAUGUUGCGGACCGAGGGCAGUUCUUCGGCGCCAUGGAUUGGCUUGCCACGAUGUUCAGGCACGGGGCGUGUAGUUGCAGUACGUACGAGUCGCGUUUUAACUUUUUUUCUGUGUGUGUGUGUGUGGACUUUACCUGGACUUGUGGAGCUGUGUACCAGGAACUGCGUCGCCUGGAAUUCAUCGAGGACCACUGCGAGCUUCGUCGUCGGCAUCAACAAAAUUGGUCCUCAACCUGUGCAACCGGCUACUCUCUUCAUCGUUUGCACCAGGAGAGCAGACAUAUGCCCACCCCCAUCGUACUUCCUGCUGGCGCUGAACGGGUCUUCCUGGUUGACAUCCUCUCAACCAACACAGCCUCGCCUUUGCAAAGGGGCGGUGACACUUGGACCAUGGACUGCCAAAACCAGGAACCACUGACAAGGAGGCUCACCGCCAGCAAUUCGUCAAGCACCACUGAAAUAACCAUCAUUGCUGCGAGCUCCACUAGCGGCACCAAGUUGGCAGCUUGCCAACCUUUGCACCUGGCACACGCGAGGGACGAUCCCGCAGGUCUCCACGCCUUGCUCCCCGGAAGAUGACGUCGCCACUAGACCAUUCCUCAGCCGACGGUGUUUCUUCUCUUUGCUAGCACCCACAGCGCUCUUCUGGUGGACCUUUGCUGAGUGAUCUGCAAUAACUCGCGCAGCUUGCCAACGUCUGCAUCUGGUGCAUGCAACGGACGAUCUUGCCGGUCCUUUGAGUGCAUCGUCUAGUCUUUGCUUCACGAACUUCCUUGGUAGCGCAUCCUUCAGACGAGUAUUUGAUCUCUCUGCUUGGUGGUCUGCAGUGACUCGGGCAACUUUUCUACCCUCGAUCCCAUUCAGCGGAUGCUAUGUCCGAACCCACAUCGCCUUUCAUGUCCAGCCAGUGCCUGCAGUGGGCAAGAUGAUCCUCCAGUCCUGUCCUGUGGCCAAGGCGUCCCUUGGUCCACGACUCUCCUUCGGGUUCUCACCUCUUGCUCGCCUUCUGUGGAAUGUAUCGUGCACGAAAGCCCAUCGCUGCGGCCUGCCCUUUUCGAUCUUUACUCCAUGUAAGGACUGUUUCGUGUUGCUGUUCAUCAUGGCUCCGCUGUGACCACUAGUGGAUGAAAAGUGGGUGGUGCACUGCUGCUCACCCUGCCCCAGCAAGUCUUAUGCCAGCGAUCUCUGGAUCUGCCCAGAGCUACCAGCUGUUCACGAAAUUCUGUGCAAUGCAUCGGUGCUGGUGAUACAGAGCCUAACAAUGUACAGAGCUGUUUGAAGGAUAAUUCGAUGGUUUUCAGAAUCUACCACUCAAAAAAUAAUGGCAUGCUGUUCAGCCGCUUUAUGGUGCAUCUCAUGUUUUUAGACUGUCAAAUAUAUUGGACCAAUGUUGUCGAUUAAAUUACACAAGUUUAAUGUUUCGUGCAACAUUUCAAUCAUGCUCAUGUUUCACCACCAUAUCAGACUGCAGUGCGAUUGAUUGACCCAUCGGCAUGUGUUUGUUGGCCAUAAUAGAGGCAUCCAUUCAUAUUGUGCCAUGUAGUGGCAUAUUGAUGCUCUUUUGCAUUAAACUGCAUGGAAAGCUGGGUAACUUGGUACGGAUUCAUCUAUCGAUCUGCACGGCAGAGGCUCUUCUGUGUAUGCAUUUACCUGUGUUGCGUAUCUUGGGCGACACGCUCUUCCAUGUCACCUAUUCACAACUCAACUCGGUGGCUCCUUCGGUUCGGUUUUAAGGUUGUUGUGCAGAUGCACUCAACAGGUUCUCAUUUGUCCAAUUAAACGGUUCAGCUGAAGAGUCGCCAAUUGUUACAUGGGGGUGAUCGAGUCUUCACUUCUUUGGAAUCUGUUCGCUUCGGGCAUCCUGGUUGGAGGGCGUCCGGAGCAUUGGUAUAUGGUCUUUGCUAACACUUUAACAUCUUCCUGCUUAUGGUCCACAACUAGUAAGUGCCUGUUACAUCCUUCGAUUUUCCUCCACUGGUAUAUGCGUUCCAACUCGGCAGUUAACUUUGCAUGCUUCGGUCUUGCUUCACCUGUAACAUGUAAAAGCAUCAAUAUGCCAAAAAAGUGCACAAUCUGACUGGAGGGGUACGUGGGGGCGGGCCAUAAUUAUGGCAAAAACAAACACUUGCAGCCUGAUGGGAGUCUGAUUCGACAUGUAUGGCGUGUAAUGCUUACCUUUUUAGUCGGGUGCUGUAGUGUCCUACAAAAGCUUAUAGAAGAAAACGUAUACAGGCGACAAUAAGCACAGUGUGGCAGCAACACGGUGUACUGUACCUUUUGGGUGAAGACUGUUUGGUUCUUGGUGACGUUCUAGAAUGUGGACAUUGUUAAUCAGGGAAUCAUACGUACGUGUUGUUUAGCGCCCUUUGAAUGUUCUUAAGUUGUUUUUUGCCAGAUUAGUUUCCUCCAAGCUAUAAGUGUGCACAAUGUGUUUAUGUAAUAAAGAUAAAUGCAGUGAAUACAUUGUUAGAUCUAUGUUGAUCGCUAUAGUCACAUACAACUUCGAAAGACUGGAGAGGCCCUGCCCAGAUAACCGAACCUCACUGUCAGUCUGGCUCUUGACAUCAAGCCUGGAGUGUGUGCCCAUGGGUGCAGGAUUGUGCGCAUCAGCCUUUGAGUAGGAAAUGCUGCUGACUUCUUAAGUUGUAUCAGUCAGUCUAGUAAGGUGCAAAGUUUUAUUUCAAGACUUUAUUGUGAAACAUCAUUUAAAAUGCUUAGAAGUAUUGAGGCUUGUGUUAAGUUGCUUAUUUGCUGCUCUGCACAUCUGCUGCUGUACAAUGUUCCUUUCUAGUUUUGUUCCACAUUUACCAAGCACUUCUAGGCCUCUACCAUUACUGUAAUCUUUUUCUUCCUUUUGCUAAGACAUAGUGUCUCUACAUGGCUUGUCCGAUUGAGAGUAUGUAUCGGUAUGCCAUAUGUUGUUCAUUCCAGUCCAUAGUACUACCACUUGUCUUCACCCGGUAAUGUGUGAAUUCUCAUGUAGAUACUAUAUUUUUCCUCCACUACAUGUGCAGGUUUCCAAACAGUGUUGUUUGUCAAAGAACUUGUACUGCUGUGUUCGUUCGCAUUCUUUCUGUUCCAAACAUAAAUUUUGUAGUUGCUACAAUUUGUGCAAUUAAAACAUAAAUUGUGUGUUA
rnacentral:misc_RNA from 1 species